AACUUUUAACAAUGGAUCACUUGGCUCUCGCAUCGAUGAAGAACGCAGCGAAAUGCGAUACGUAAUGUGAAUUGCAGAAUGCAGUGAAUCAUCGAAUCUUUGAACGCACCUUGCGCCCUUUGGUAUUCCGAGGGGCACACCCGUUUGAGUGACGUGACAUUCUCAAAACCUUCUCGGUUUCUCGACCGGGAAGGCUUUGGACUUUGGUGGCUUUUGCUGGCAUUCCUUUGUUGGAGCCUGCUCCUCUGAAAUGAAUUAGUUGGGUCUCCUUUGCCGAUCCUUGUCGUGAUAAGAUGUUUUCUACGUUUGGGGAAUUAGCACUCCUGCUUCUAACCGUCUCACAGUAGACAAAUGGUCCACUCGUCACACAAACCUUGACCUCAAAUCGGGUGAGACUACCCGAUGAACUUAAGCAUUUCAAGAAGCGGAGGCG
rnacentral:misc_RNA from 1 species